GUCUAACUACGGUAUUCGACCACUGGGACUCGAUCCCUGGUCCUUAAAUUAUGACCCCGGGAGCCGAUCUCAUUAAGGAAGUGUGCAGGUCCAUUUUUUAUGGAAAGCCUAACUCCUUAAUCCAGGCUCCCCCCCUUGAACUUUAGGUUCAGGGGCGCAGACCCAGCCGGUACCGCGGUUGACAC
rnacentral:other from 2 species